UGGAGCUAUGUGACUUCUA
rnacentral:siRNA from 1 species